ACACUGUUAGAAGGGAAGAAGAAUUUUCUAUUUUCUAUUGAGAAGGAGACCAAGAUGCAGUGGCAGCUUGAAGAGGAGAGUAGCAGCGGCUGUUUUUCUCUCAUGUUAGGGUUGGAGGCGACAAUGUGAGGCAGUAGCAAAGGAAGACUUUGAAGAGCAAAUGAAAGGCAAAAAUUGAGAGAUUGCUAGAAAACUAUUGAGGAAAUUAUUAAGGAUUGGAAUGCUGACCUACAAGAGCGCACUACAAAAUUCCAAAAGCAGGCUACAACAAUAGCUGAAUGGGAUAUGAGGAUUAAUGACAGCUUGAAUUAAUUGAGACACUUCAGCAGGAGGUUGGCAAAGCUCGGGAGAGCUUGGAAAGCGAGAGGUGAACAACAACAGAAGAGAGAUGCAGAGGAAGGAAGAGCAGCAACUAGGCAGAGGAUGCCGAAGCGUGGUUGGAGGCAGGGAGAGGCAUGGCCAUGGGCCACGAGCUCGUCGGAUCAGUUCACUUUAAGAGUUGUUAUAGUGUGUGUGAGUUAUCUUUUAGGGUUUCCCUCUCUUGGCCACAUUUUGUAUUCGUCCUCCUUGUCGAUGGAUCCAAUGGACGCUGAUGCUAGGGGGAGUCAGUGCGCAGGUGAUGUUGUAUGCAGACAUGGUGUAGCACGCAAA